rnacentral:snoRNA from 1 species
UUUCAUAAACCGUACAUUCCAAGAACGAGUAUUAUUGUAGUGGAUUUGUGACGGUACUAUGUACCUUUUUUUCAGGCAAUAUCUUCUCUACAACUUGUUCGAGAGCGACAAUUUUAAGACUUCUAAGGUAUUUGGAGGUUGUUCGAUAACGACAAAGGGCUUUCUCCUCAUAUAAGGGUCACACAGUU